rnacentral:piRNA from 1 species
UAAUGCCUUUGGGAUGAAAUUUAAGACUUGGU